CAAGGACUUAUAUUUACUCAGUUCAUCCAAUAUCAAUUAUUAUAAUAAUCAACAGUGUAAAUUGGAAAGUAACUACGUGGAAACCACUUCUCCUUCUUUCCCAUCUAAGGUCUCAGAAGAGGGGAAAUGACUCACCUAAGGCCUUAUAAUGGGCCUGCCCCGCCAUGUUCUAUUGCAUUGUUUUUCUGCAAAGCCUCAUCUUGCGGGGUUACACUAUACAUAUUUUUCCUCUCUUUUCGUUUUACCAAAGAGAAAAAUAUAUACUUUUUUACUGUUAAGAAACAUUUUCUCAAAUAAGUACGUAUUUCAUUCCUUACUGAAAUGGUUUUUUCUUAUUGAUCCAUUGAAACCAUAUUGGCUAUGUUCAACAUAACUAGAGAUAUCUUUGGUGUUUUCCUCCCUUAGCUUCAUAUCUUGU
rnacentral:lncRNA from 1 species